AUUGAACGCUGGCGGCAUGCCUUACACAUGCAAGUCGAACGGCAGCACGGGAGCUUGCUCCUGGUGGCGAGUGGCGAACGGGUGAGUAAUAUAUCGGAACGUACCCUAGAGUGGGGAUAACGCAGCGAAAGUUGCGCUAAUACCGCAUACGAUCUACGGAUGAAAGUGGGGGAUCGCAAGACCUCAUGCUCAUGGAGCGGCCGAUAUCUGAUUAGCUAGUUGGUGGGUAAAGGCCUACCAAGGCUUCGAUCAGUAGCUGGUCUGAGAGGACGACCAGCCACACUGGAACUGAGACACGGUCCAGACUCCUACGGGAGGCAGCAGUGGGGAA
rnacentral:rRNA from 1 species